rfam:Gossypium hirsutum cultivar TM-1 unplaced genomic scaffold scaffold445.1, whole genome shotgun sequence
UGUUAAAAAUUCUUUUCAUUUCUAUUGUUAAAAACUUGUAUAACUGAUUGAAUAACCAGACAACUACUCGUGAUCUGUCAUGUGUACCUUAUGCUGACAUACGAGAUCAAUUUUUAACAAUAGAAAUAGAUAAAAUUUUUAACA